rnacentral:rRNA from 1 species
UACAUGGGGUGCAAACGUUGCUCGGAAUUAUUGGGCGUAAAGCGCACGUAGGCGGUUCGUUAAGUCGGAUGUGAAAGCCCUCGGCUCAACUGAGGAAGUGCACCCGAAACUGGCGAGCUUGAGUACUUAAGAGGAUCGCGGAAUUCCCGGUGUAGAGGUGAAAUUCGUAGAUAUCGGGAGGAACACCAGUGGCGAAGGCGGCGAUCUGGGAAGAUACUGACGCUGAGGUGCGAAAGCGUGGGGAGCAAACAGGG